rnacentral:lncRNA from 1 species
GGUGUGAUUUAUAUUUAAUUAUGAGAUACAUUAAUUUUUGAUACAUAUUUAAUAUUAGAUAACUCAACAGUACUUCAUCAUAUCAUUUUUUUUUAGGUAUCAAAGAUGAUGGAGAUAAAUAAUUCAGAUGAACUAAUAGCUCUUGCUCGAGGACCUAACAAGAUUGUGAAUAGAUAUAACGGUUUCAUAAUUAAUGGCUUUAAAUUUCAUACUAGAGAACG